GAUGAACGCUGGCGGCGUGCCUAAUACAUGCAAGUCGAGCGAAUGGAUUAAGAGCUUGCUCUUAUGAAGUUAGCGGCGGACGGGUGAGUAACACGUGGGUAACCUGCCCAUAAGACUGGGAUAACUCCGGGAAACCGGGGCUAAUACCGGAUAACAUUUUGAACCGCAUGGUUCGAAAUUGAAAGGCGGCUUCGGCUGUCACUUAUGGAUGGACCCGCGUCGCAUUAGCUAGUUGGUGAGGUAACGGCUCACCAAGGCAACGAUGUGUAGCCCACCUGAGAGGGUGGUCGGCCACACUGGGACUGAGACACGGCCCAGACUCCUACGGGAGGCAGCAGUAGGGAAUCUUCCGCAAUGGACGAAAGUCUGACGGAGCAACGCCGCGUGAGUGAUGAAGGCUUUCGGGUCGUAAAACUCUGUUGUUAGGGAAGAACAAGUGCUAGUUGAAUAAGCUGGCACCUUGACGGUACCUAACCAGAAAGCCACGGCUAACUACGUGCCAGCCGCCGCAGUAA
rnacentral:rRNA from 1 species